rnacentral:tRNA from 1 species
GCCUGGGUGGCUCAGUUGGUUGAGCGUCUGACUUUGGCUCAGGUCAUGAUCUUGUGGUUCAUGGGUUCAAGUCCCAUAUUGGGCU